ACGAGUUAUACAACUCCCAAACCCUUUGUGAACCUUACCAUUUACGUUGCUUCGGCGGAACGCGCUGGUGUCGCCCUCACGGGUGCCCCAGGUCAACGCGCCCGCCGGGGACUACAAACUCUUGAUUUUGCGAAAGCAGUAUUCUUCUGAGUGGCCGAAAGGCAAAAAACAAAUGAAUCA
rnacentral:misc_RNA from 1 species